CCAGGCCCAUGUGCCGCUGCUUCCGGCCCGCCCACAACCCUCCCAGAGGCCCGAGCGACUAGGCUUCCGGCCUUGUGCUAUGGCCCGCCCCCAGGCCUAAGCGCACGGCUCUGGCCCCGCCCCCAGGCCUGGGCCCCUCAGUUUCUGGCCGCACCCCUAGGCUGGUCCCUAUACCGGAACGCCUCCGCUUCCGGCUGGCGGAGAGAUCUGGCGCGCCCCCUGGCCCAAACUGCCGCUGCGCUCUGCAGAGUACCCAUGCCAGACUGUCCCAUGAUUAGAGUUUUGAGACUGGAUCAUUUUGUGAGAAGAUGGGGAUGUCUGUGAAAUGAGACCACCCAGAGAGAACUCCAAAUACCAAAGAAGAGGGCCAUAGAGGAAAAUUUCAGAAGUGGGAAUGUCUAAAACUACCAUAUGUGGACAGCCAGUGAGUAUUUGCCUGAUACCCAUGGAGGCCAGAAGAGGACAUCAGAUUCCCUGGUACUGGAGUUACAGAUGGUUUGAGCCACCAUGUAGGUAUUGGGAAUAGAAACCUGGUCCUUUGGAAGAGCAGCCAGUGCUCUUAACUACUGAGCCAUCUCUCCAGCCCCUCAGCAUGAACACUUUCCAGGCAUUCCUGGAACUCAGUAAUCCCUUGGCUCUUAUGAAACUCACAUACUUGAUGAUGAUUUGCACAAUGUUACCCACAAUGUUUAAUGCUUUUGUGCAUAUGUUGUCUUGAUGCACUAUACAAUGAAACUUCAUUAAAUGUGAAUUUAGGGCAGCAAUUGUAUCAUCUAUUAACUUUUAAAGUCUUUUAUCUCCUCUUGUCAGACAUUAUCAGUAACUACAUCAGAGAUGUUGGCAAUGGACAAAGAAAAUUACUUUAACAUAGUUUUUACUACUUCAUAUAAAUCUCUUGUUCUAGUGCCUCUUAAUGACACUAAAGAAGCCAUUGAUUCAGCAACUUUAUUAUAUUCACCAUCAAUGCCUCUUAUUAGAGACAAGUUGAGCCAUCCAUAUUUGUAGCAUCGGCAUGUCAUCGGUCAUCACAGCACACAAUUUAAAAUUUAAAGUUGGUUGCUCUACACAAAAGCUUCUGUAAUACCUGUUCCAGUGUCUUUACUUUGCCUGGUUAUCAGCCAGUGAAACAAAU